CCCAGCAUGUGAAGACUGUUUCAGCGAAACAGGCAGAAGAAACCAACAAGAAGGUUCAACGGCCGAGAUGGCGAUACAGCAAGGCACUGUGGAGUGCUUAGGGCGUGUUGGAGUACAAAGGACAACACGGCCAUCCAAUGCAGCUGAGGAAGUCUCCAGGUGUAAUGACGUUUCGUGCCAAUGGACCCAGGUUUCCAACGCCGAGAGAGUGGGACUGUCACUGUGCUUCGACUUUUCCACUUAAAUGUUCAUUCAAAGGUGUCUUUGUGCACAAAAACGCACAAAGACAAUCGUCAUCCUCGGUUCGAGAGACAACCAACAUAAUCUUUUCCUUCAGCAACAGAAAGGAUUAUGGUGGCAUCUUCUUUUUUCUCUCUCAAAGCUGAGAGACAAGUGCUUGCUGCCCAAAGAGGUGUGAAGAAAACUGGAAGAAGACUUAAGAAAUCUUUUUUUCAUUAUUCUGGCUAACUCCUUCCCAAUAGGCAUGGAACAUUGAUUUCUACCAAUAAGGACAAAAUUUCAUUCCAAUGGGCUUUGAGAGGGAGAUUACACAUAGAAAACAUGAAGGGAGAUGAUAAUAUAAGAUUAUAAUGGUAAAUUUGCACCUUGCAGAGAUCUUUAAAUGCUUUUUUCCUCUCACAAGAUACCCCAUAUCCCAAUCUGUUCACUGUCUGACUCCCAUCCAUUCCUGGAUUUCUUUCCCUUAUCAUCUCUACCUACUGCCUUCCCUUGCUUCCUUCAAAUCUAAGAUAAAGUUAAUCAAUCUUCCUUUUUUGCUUAUUCCUACUUUAAUCUGUAUAUAAUUUGUUUGUAUAUAGUUGUAUGUUGUCUCCCCAUUUGGACUGUGAGAUCCUUGAGAUCAGGGGAUAUAUUUUAUCUGUAUUUGCAUCCCUAUGGCAUAGCAGAGUGCCUAACUGAGUUAUCAGAGUGGAUGCUUAGCAAAUGCUUAUUGAUGAAAUGGCUGACUGCUAGAUUAGGCAGUUUGCAUAUAUUUUAUUCUUUUAUCUUUUGGAAUGUUUUCUUCAGAUUAUAUUCAGAUACAAUUUUCAAUAAUAAUGUUUUUUAAUUUUGCAAUCCAUGUUCUUUAUCUCCCUCUUAGCUCUUCCGCCCUCUAAGAUGUCAGAUUAUAUGAUAUAGAUUGUACAUGUAUUAUCACAUGAUACAUACUUCCAUGUUCAUUAUUGCUUUCACUAGAGAAAAAUUCAUGGAGGAAAUAAAAUGAAGAAUGGUAUGCUUCA
rnacentral:lncRNA from 1 species